rnacentral:rRNA from 1 species
CUGCCGCUUGCAGAUGGGCCCGCGGCGCAUUAGCUAGUUGGUGAGGUAACGGCUCACCAAGGCGACGAUGCGUAGCCGACCUGAGAGGGUGAUCGGCCACACUGGGACUGAGACACGGCCCAGACUCCUACGGGAGGCAGCAGUAGGGAAUCUUCCGCAAUGGACGAAAGUCUGACGGAGCAACGCCGCGUGAGCGAAGAAGGUCUUCGGAUCGUAAAGCUCUGUUGUCAGGGAAGAACAAGUACCGUUCGAACAGGGCGGUACCUUGACGGUACCUGACCAGAAAGCCACGGCUAACUACGUGCCAGCAGCCGCGGUAAUACGUAGGUGGCAAGCGUUGUCCGGAAUUAUUGGGCGUAAAGCGCGCGCAGGCGGUCUCUUAAGUCUGAUGUGAAAGCCCACGGCUCAACCGUGGAGGGUCAUUGGAAACUGGGAGACUUGAGUGCAGAAGAGGAGAGCGGAAUUCCACGUGUAGCGGUGAAAUGCGUAGAGAUGUGGAGGAACACCAGUGGCGAAGGCGGCUCUCUGGUCUGUAACUGACGCUGAGGCGCGAAAGCGUGGGGAGCGAACAGGAUUAGAUACCCUGGUAGUCCACGCCGUAAACGAUGAGUGCUAAGUGUUAGAGGGCUUCCACCCUU